AGGGCUGUGGCUCGGUGGUAGAGCAUUCGCUUUACAUGCAAAAGGCCCCAGGUUCAAUCCCUGGCAACCCCA